rnacentral:rRNA from 1 species
CUGCUGCCUUCCGUAGGAGUUUGGGCCGUGUCUCAGUCCCAAUGUGGCCGUCCACCCUCUCAGGCCGGCUACUGAUCGUCGCCUUGGUGGGCCCCUACCCCGCCAACAAGCUAAUCAGACGCGGGUCCAUCUUACACCACCGGAGUUUUUCACACCGGGCCAUGCGGCCCCGUGCGCUUAUGCGGUAUUAGCACCUGUUUCCAGGUGUUAUCCCCCUGUGUAAGGCAGGUUACCCACGCGUUACUCACCCGUCCGCCACUCGAAUG